rnacentral:rRNA from 1 species
CCUACGAGAGGCAGCAGUGAGGAAUAUUGGUCAAUGGGCGGGAGCCUGAACCAGCCAAGUCGCGUGAGGGAAGACGGUCCUAUGGAUUGUAAACCUCUUUAGGCGGGGAGCAAUGCCGGGCAAGUGUGCCCGGAGGGAUAGUACCCGCAGAAUCAGCAUCGGCUAACUCCGUGUCAGCAGCCGCGGUAAAACGGAGGGUGCGAUCGUUAUCCGUAUUUAUUGGGUUAAGGGGGUGCGUAGGCGGAUUGUUUGGUCAGCGGUAAAAUGUCCGGGCUCAAACGGGGCCGGCCUUUGAAACUGGGGAUCUUGAGUGGGCGAGAGGUAUGCGGAAUGCGUGGUGUAGCGGUGAAAUGCAUAGAUAUCACGCAGAACUCCGAGUGCGAAGGCAGCAUACCGGCGCCCGACUGACGCUGAGGCACGAAAGCGUGGGGAUCGAACAGGAUUAGAUACCCUUGUAGUC